rnacentral:tRNA from 1 species
GCCCAGAUGAGCUUCGGUGGUCCGGGGCGCAGGCUUCAAACCUGUGGGCGGGGAGACUCGCAGUGGUUCGAUUCCACCUUCUAGGC